CCCUAGUAAUGGCGAAUGAACAGGGAAAAGCCCAAUUUUAAAAUCACCUAACCGUGAAUUGUAGUUUAUAAGAGUGUAGAACUGUGCUGCCUUGCCUUAAGUCUCUUGAAAAAGAGCUACAGAGAGGGUGAAAUUCCCGUUUUGGUGCAAGUAGUAGUAUGGAACUUAUCUCUAAAGAGUCAUGUUGCUUGAGAAUGCAGCAUAAAAUGGGUGGUAAAUUCCAUCUAAGGCUAAAUACUGGUAAGAGUCCGAUAGUAAACAAGUACCUUAAGGGAAAGAUGAAAGAGAACCUUGAAAAGGGUCUCAAAAGAAAGUGAAAUUGUUAUAAGGAAACCGCUUAAAACUUCUGGAAUCUGUGCACCAGUUAAUGGGGGAGCAAUCCCUUUGCUAUUGGUGUAUGGGUGGCUAUUGCUCGGGUUUGAGCUUAUGAGGAUUAGAAGGGAAGGUAAGUUGAAUUUCGGUUUAACUUCUUAAAGCCCUUUUAGUCUGAUAAAGUUUGGGCCAGUGUAGAAAGUCAUACGGUGGCUAGCUCUUGAAUUAAACACUAUAAUAGACUUGUGCUAGAGUGGUUUUUAAUUUAAGGCCUAGUACUGCCACAUGCUUUAAUAGUUAAGAAGACUUAAGCGACCCGUCUUGAAACACGGACCAAGGAGUCUAACAUAUAUGCAAGUAUUAUGGCUUAAAACCAGACUGCGCAAUGAAAGUAAUUUCAAGGUAGGAUCCCGCAAGGGUGCACUAUCGACCGAGCUAUAGGG
rnacentral:rRNA from 1 species